rfam:Myotis davidii contig204490, whole genome shotgun sequence.
GGCGGUUCUCAGGUGAUGCACCCUGGAAUCGGGCUCCCUCCUCUCUGGUUCCGGGUCUGUCACCCGAGAACCGCA